UUUUUAGAAAUGUAUGUAGUAGGCCGGGCGCAGUGGCUCACACCUGUAAUCCCAGCACUUUGGGAGGCCAAGGUGGUCCACCCGCCUCGGCCUCCCAAAGUGCUGGCAUUACAGGCGUGAACCACCGUGCCUGGCCGGAAGUCUUUAAAAAAUAAAGUGAUUCUACUCUUCUAAGCUUACAGAGACCAGACCAGGUGAAUGUAACUGGGGAAAAUCAAGAUGGUACCUCUCUGCAUUAUCCCGCCAGACACUGUAUUUUAUGCAUUCAUGUCUAGGAUACAGUGUGAAAAUUAAAAAGUUUAGAGGGCAGAUGCAAUUGUGGCAAGUGACCUGCCAAUAAAGCAGGUGCAGCUAUAGAAGCUGGCAUAGGUAUAUCCUUAAUGGUGCUUUCUCCCUGGGCUUGUCUUUUUGUUGUUUUUUUCCCCCUAUAUUCAGAGCUCCUUGAGAAGUGAUAAACACCUCCAGCUUUCUAACAUCCUCCCCACACCAUCUCACCAUAUCCAUCUCCCAGCAUCCAUCUGCAUUCAGCUAAGGGCGGGAAACUGACCUAGUGCCUGUGUUGCAGACCAUUUCUGAGGUCUCCACCAUCCAAGGAGGCACAGCCGUCAUUACUGUCCUCCAUGCCUUCAGCAGCCCCCCUCACAGCUAAGGUACAUACCACCCCUUCUGCCGCGCCUCCACCCCUGGCACCAAGGUCUUCUGCUGCUUAUGUCUAAAGGGAUCACCUAUAUUUAACUGCCUCAGUGACCUAACCUCUUUCUUCUCAUGUGCCAGAUGUUAAGAUGAAGGAGGAAUACAACACAUACUCAAGCCUCAGCCUGUUUAGUUGUUUUCACUGGGGCUCGCUUUUCUGGGACGGUAUUUAUUAUCAGACUGGCAAGCCUAACUCCAUAGGUUUACAGGAAGUAGGGAUAUUUUUAUAAAACAAUUGUGUCCUCCCCACAUUUUGCUAUGUUAAUAUUUGCUUCUAACAAUUUGCAGCUGUUUCACUUUUUCCUCAUUUGUCUCUAAGUUGAAGGCUUUGUUGGAGGGGACAGAGCACAGGAACAGCCUUGACAGUCUGUAAUUAUUGUACAGAUAUUUUAAUAGCAUAUAAAUAAGUAUAUUCCUUUUAUUUUGAAACAAAAAUGAUCAGACACUGCCUUUUGUGUGUUUGCUGCCUGUGGCAUCCUUUUUUAAAAAGACUGUUACAUAUUAAAAUAGUGUACAUAUAUAAAUAUUACCUCUUUUGCUGUACAGUUGUGAUAGAGACUGAAGAUUUUAUUUUUUGUGUGCUUUUUAUAAGAAAAAAAUUAAUACACUAAAGAAUCUUGCUGAUGUGAUUGUAAUGUACCUAUGUAACUUAUUUACUUUUGAAUGUUCUUCUGUAUCUUUAAACCUUUUAUUAAAUAAGGUUUUAAAAAUUCAGAGUUGAAUGCUUUGUUCUCUUGGGAUUUUCACCAUCUGGGGUUGAUGUAAGUGCGCCUUGUCUUGCUUGCAGGGAGAUUACUCGACAUUUUUGAACCAUAAGGAUUCUCUUUUAGCAGCCUAUUGUCAAUGAUGCCAG
rnacentral:lncRNA from 10 species